rnacentral:rRNA from 1 species
ACCUGCCUUGGAGUGGGGAAUAACACAGUGAAAACUGUGCUAAUACCGCAUGAUGCAGUUGGGUCGCAUGGCUCUGACUGCCAAAGAUUUAUCGCUCUGAGAUGGCCUCGCGUCUGAUUAGCUAGUAGGCGGGGCAAUGGCCCACCUAGGCGACGAUCAGUAGCCGGACUGAGAGGUUGGCCGGCCACAUUGGGACUGAGACACGGCCCAGACUCCUACGGGAGGCAGCAUG